UAGCUCAGUCAGUUGAGCGUGGCACUAACAACGCCAAGGUCACGGGUUCCAUUCCCGU
rfam:Apaloderma vittatum contig12657, whole genome shotgun sequence.